AUGGGUUCUCGUUAGAUCACCGAAGUCAAGUAUCAUCGGGCGCGGUCAGUACUUGGGUGGGUGACCCACCUGGGAAUACCACGUGCCGUU